GCCUGGGUGGCUCAGUUGGUUAAGCAUCUGACUUCGGCUCAGGUCAUGAUCUGAUGGUUUGUGGGUUUGAGUCCCGCAUCAGGUU
rnacentral:tRNA from 1 species